CCUACGGGUGGCAGCAGUGGGGAAUAUUGGACAAUGGGCGAAAGCCUGAUCCAGCCAUGCCGCGUGUGUGAAGAAGGCCUUCGGGUUGUAAAGCACUUUCAGUGGGGAAGAAAGCCUUGGGGCUAAUACCCUCGAGGAAGGACAUCACCCACAGAAGAAGCACCGGCUAACUCCGUGCCAGCAGCCGCGGUAAUACGGAGGGUGCGAGCGUUAAUCGGAAUUACUGGGCGUAAAGCGCGCGUAGGCGGUCUGAUAAGCCGGUUGUGAAAGCCCCGGGCUCAACCUGGGAACGGCAUCCGGAACUGUCAGGCUAGAGUGCAGGAGAGGAAGGUAGAAUUCCCGGUGUAGCGGUGAAAUGCGUAGAGAUCGGGAGGAAUACCAGUGGCGAAGGCGGCCUUCUGGACUGACACUGACGCUGAGGUGCGAAAGCGUGGGUAGCACACAGGAUUAGAUACCCCGGUAGUC
rnacentral:rRNA from 1 species